UCCUACGGGAGUCAGCAGUGAGGAAUAUUGGACAAUGGGUGAGAGCCUGAUCCAGCCAUCCCGCGUGAAGGACGACGGCCCUAUGGGUUGUGAACUUCUUUUGUAUAGGGAUAAACCUACUCUCGUGAGAGUAGCUGAAGGUACUAUACGAAUAAGCACCGGCUAACUCCGUGCCAGCAGCCGCGGUA
rnacentral:rRNA from 1 species